rnacentral:rRNA from 1 species
UACGUAGGGGGCAAGCGUUGUCCGGAUUUAUUGGGCGUAAAGAGCGUGUAGGCGGCCAGACAGGUCAGCUGUGAAAACUCGAGGCUCAACCUCGAGACGUCGGUUGAAACCGUCUGGCUAGAGUCCGGAAGAGGAGGAGUGGAAUUCCCGGUGUAGCGGUGAAAUGCGCAGAUAUCGGGAAGAACACCCGUGGCGAAGGCGGC